rnacentral:rRNA from 1 species
UGCUUAGCCGUAAAAAAUUUACUUACACUACUCCCGCCAGGGUAUUACGAGCAAAAGCUUAAAACCCAAAGGACUUGACGGUAUCCUAUCCACCUAGAGGAGCCUGUUCUAUAAUCGACGCCACCCGAUAUACCCCACUGUUUUUUGCAUAUCAGCCUGUAUACCUCCGUCGUAAGCUUGCCAUAUGAAUGACUCAAAGCUGGCCUAAAGAUAUACCAUCUCAACGUCAGGUCAAGGUGCAGCCCACAAAACAGUUAGAAAUGGGCUACAAUUUCUAUAUUAGAACAAACGAAAGGCCACAUGAAAUCCAACCAUGAAGGUGGAUUUAGUAGUAAAAAGAAAAUAGAGAGUUCUUUUUAAUCAGGCACUGGGACAUGU